GAUGAACGCUGGCGGCGUGCCUAAUACAUGCAAGUCGAGCGAACAGACGAGGAGCUUGCUCCUCUGACGUUAGCGGCGGACGGGUGAGUAACACGUGGAUAACCUACCUAUAAGACUGGGAUAACUUCGGGAAACCGGAGCUAAUACCGGAUAAUAUAUUGAACCGCAUGGUUCAAUAGUGAAAGACGGUUUUGCUGUCACUUAUAGAUGGAUCCGCGCCGUAUUAGCUAGUUGGUAAGGUAACGGCUUACCAAGGCAACGAUGCGUAGCCGACCUGAGAGGGUAAUCGGCCACACUGGAACUGAGACACGGUCCAGACUCCUGCGGGAGGCAACAGUAGGGAAUCUUCCGCAGUGGGCGAAAGCCUGACGGAACAAGGCCGCGUAAGUGAUGAAGGUCUUCAGAUCGUAAAACGCUGUUAUUAGGGAAGAACAAAUGUGUAAGUAAAUAUGCACGUCUUGACGGUACCUAAUCAGAAAGCAACGGCUAACUACGUG
rnacentral:rRNA from 1 species